UUGUGUAGUGUAGCGGUUAGCACGGAGCACUUUGACGCUGUAGAAAUCGCAACGCAAUGCUUCAUCCUCGGUUCGAAUCCGGGCAC
rnacentral:tRNA from 1 species